rnacentral:misc_RNA from 1 species
GAUGAAGAACGCAGCAAAAUGCGAUAAGUAAUGUGAAUUGCAGAAUUCAGUGAAUCAUCGAAUCUUUGAACGCACAUUGCGCCCGUUGGUAUUCCGGCGGGCAUGCCUGUUCGAGCGUCAUUUCAACCCUCAAGCCCCCGGGUUUGGUGUUGGGGAUCGGCUCUGCCCUUCUGGGCGGUGCCGCCCCCGAAAUACAUUGGCGGUCUCGCUGCAGCCUCCAUUGCGUAGUAGCUAACACCUCGCAACUGGAACGCGGCGCGGCCAUGCCGUAAAACCCCAACUUCUGAAUGUUGACCUCGGAUCAGGUAGGAAUACCCGCUGAACUUAAGCAUAUCAAUAAGCGGAGGA